CUGUGUUUGGUGCCCUUAAGUAUGAUGUGCAGCAUGAUUUUCCCAGCAUAAAUGGCCAUGUGCAUUUCUUUUAAGUAGAUAAAGAAUAUUCUGUCAAGCAUGUUAAAUGUCUAUGAAAAACUCAUAAUCAUUUUUAUUAGUAUCGCAACAAAGUCAACACAGCAAAGCUUUACCAUGUGUCAAAGAUCCCUAUAGCAAGUUCUAAAGUAUGUUGAAGACAUUGUGCAACACAUGUCAGUCAUUAUAUGCUACAUGAUAAAUAUGCCUCAAACAAAAACAAAAUAACACCAGUUUAUUAUAUGCUGCAUGAUAAAGAUGCUUCAAAUAUGAACAAUUCAACACCAAUAGUUGAUGCUGCAACAAAAGAAAUUGUACUGCAAAGAAGCAUGGGGUACAUGCAAACACCAAGUCAGGAGGCAUUACAUUUUGAAAUUUCAGGAACGUAACAUAUUAAGUGCUUGAGAGACCAAACCUGCAUGAUUGCAGUGCUGAUUGACAUGACAGCCUCGAGGUGUAGUAUUGUCACAUGGGAAACAGUCCACAAAAAGAAAAUGUCACAAUGUGCAAGGCUAAGUUAUAUGUGUUCAGAACAUAAGUAGUCAAAGAUUCCCAACAUAAGUUGCAUACGAAACUCUAGAAUCAUAUUUUCAAUUUUUUCAUGGUCCAAUAGUAUAAGACUGAUGAUUUUCUUAGCAAUCUGCAUUCUUUCAACAUCGCUGAUGUCAACAUCCAGUCCUGGAAGCAUGCCCAUGUCAUUAGUGCUUGCAAGUUUACCAGUGCCAGCUUUAACAAAUCUGGUAUAUGUCCACUGAUUAUGACAAGGAUGGGACAAAGAAACAGAAUAAACACAGAUAAACUGCAGGAAACUCAUGGAGAAUUGCAACAGCCUUCAGUUUGGCUGAAGACUGAAGAGUGACAGUAUAACAGCUUACCCACAACCAACUGCCAAUACUGAAACUCAUACUUUCAACAUAAUGCCAUGGAGCAAAGGAAAUCAACUUUCCAGCAACAAUCAAAGGAAACAACCCUCUGCACCAUGAGGUUAGAAGUGCCUUCUAAACUCUUAUAUGGCAAACAGUUUCUCCUCAUCUUGUGUAGCACUGUCACCAUAAUAUAGAAAGCUAGGGCUUGGAGUUCCUAAAAGGGAAUGAAGACCUACUGAAUUUCCAGCAGCCUUCUCCCACCCUGUGGACAGGUGUGUGCACACGCACACAAAGGGAAAGCAGAUCAAAUUCAAAUGAAGCAAACCCCUUAGGACAUGAUCCAGGGAGGAGAGAAGAGAAAAUUGCGAUGACUGAAGUAUUUGAAAGCAGAAAGAGAAAAGAAGUUAAAUUGGAGGUUUUACAGAGGGCUUUUGUCCAUACACUUAAGCCAUAGAAAAAUGAGUGGCUGUUCAGUUCUUUCACUCCAAUUUUCAUGUUUGGCCAGCAUUAAUACUACUAAUAAGAAAAAAGGUGCUUUCUGGUGCAUUUGGGAAAAAUGCUUGAAGUCUCUUGUGAUUAUGCAAAAGCUAGAGUGAGUCAAUUUUGUGUAGAUAAGCUAAUGCAUGUAAUGGCGAGCAGCAUCAUACAUGACAGGUCUUGCAUCAUAGCAGCAGAAGUCCGUUAAAUGUCGUUAGAACAUUGGAAACAUAAUGCAAAAACAGGUUCAAGCAAAAAACAAAUAUAAAUGGUUUAACAAUUAAAUAGAAAUGAACAGAAAAAUAUUUACUUAAAAAGGAUAAAAGAAAAUAACAGAUUCAAACUAAAGUUCAAAAAAAAAAUGCAAACUACUUUUGGACUUGAACAAAAAAAUGAAAACAUGUAUCUUUGAAACUUCAAAAAUAAAAGCAAAAACUAGAAAAUCUGUAACAAGUUUGAAAGUAAGAGAGACUCAAUUUAUGGUAUUGAAGAAGCUAAAUUAUUUGGAAAUAAAACAUACACGUUCCACUAAGAAAAAUGAUUUUAAAAUUCCAAACAAUUAUUAGAAAGGUGGGAUGGGAAAGAUGAAACUCUAAUAAGAGAACCAAUUUUAGGAAACAAUUGAUUAAAAAAGUAAAAGAAUAAAAAAAGUAAAAUACACAAUAAAAGCCCAUGAACAUUUAAAUGAAAAUUAUUGAUAUAAUUUGAAAUAUUCGAUAGACAAGUUAAAAUAAAAGAUGAAAGAAGCUUAAAAUUAAAAAAGCAAGCACUUUGUGGGAAUAAAGAAGCUAAAUUGAUAGCAAAUAUGACAAAAAAACAGCAAGAAAAAUUACAAGCUCCAAAAUUUAACUGGAAAAAUCUAUACAAUUAGAAAUAUUCAAUAAAUAGAAAAGUUUAAAAAAACCAUUAGCAAAGAAGCUUAAAAAUAAGAAAAGAACCACUUAUGGGAUUGAAGAAGCAAAAUCAUUUAGAAAUAAAAUGUACAGAUAAGAGUAGGCAAGACAAAUUUAUUGAAAGCAGAUAUCAAGCCUAGAAAAACCUAUAAACAAAAAAAGGUAAAACUAGCCAAAGAAAUAAAUCAACUAACAAAAAACUAAUAACAAAUGAAUGAAUGCCAAAGCAAAUAUAUACAUCAAGAAAAAAUUAAAUACUUGAUAUGAAAGAGAGGACUAUUUCAAAUAUUCAAUAAAUAAUAGAAAAAUCAAGAAGUGCAAGAGAAGAGGCUUAAAACAAGAAAGAAACCAUGUUGUAGAUUUGACAAAAGACAAAUCAUUGUAACAAAAUAGCACUAUUUAAUAAUUCAGCAGAACAAAUUUAUUAAAAAAGCUUGGACUAAAUACGAAAGAAUGAUAUAACUAAAGAUAAAGAAAGCCAACCAAAGGAUUGAAUCAAGUCAAAAACUAGAAAUAUAUGGUACAAAAACGAUAAAAAUCCAAAGAAAACAAGACACUCAAAUUUAAAAAAUAAAAUACCAAUACGACUUUAUUUUAAGAAACAGCAAAAAAGAAGUCUAGAAGAAGCAUUAGAACGUAAAUGAAAAUGAACUACUUUAUAAGAUUGAAGAAACUUAAUCAUUUGGAAAUAAAAUUUAUAUGACUAAGGAACAUUGGCAUCAUAGACCAGUACACAUCAAAACCAACAACCUGAGAUCCUUCCCAGCCACAUGUAUCCUUGAUCUAGACAAGCAAAAGGUACAUUCACUGCAGAAAAAAAAACAGGGUCUCAUGUAAAAAGGAGCCAACAUCAAUCGAAGUAUAGUAGGAUGGGAGCUCACUUGGAAAGUUACGGACACAUCCCCAAUCUUAAUGAUACAUCUAAUUGUGUCGUUUAAGGUUCUAGUAUAGAAAUUACCACAGUCAUAUUGUGAAGAAUUGUAACAUUUUCUUUAGAAUAAAAGUUGAAUUCAUGUGACUCACAAAAGCAAACCAACAUAACGUUAUAACCUUGCUAGGGCAUUGAAGACUUAGUGCCAAAAACAAUCAAGAACAAUGAUUUUAAAGCAUAAGAAGGAAUCUAAAUGACAGGAAAAAGAUAAAUGUGGAAGUAAAGGGCAUCCAAAUUUGUACCUAUCACCAGGAUAAUGUGGCUUGGAUAUUCUAAGGUUGCUUGAGGGCAGAACUUGUAUGCACCAGACCUAGAAAGAAAAGAUCAAAUAAUAGGAGGUGUUUCCUGAUAAAUAAAAAAAGUAGCCUAUUCUAAGAAGAAAAGCAGAAUACAUGACUUUUUAUCUAAAACCCUGAUGCGAUUGGUAAAAGUGACCCAAAUCGAAGUCAAAAUCUUGCCAAUCAUUAAAGAAUUAAUUUAAAAAACAAUCAAGGACCCACCCCAAAGGGCCCAAACUUUUCGAGCACAGAAAAUUAGAAAGUGAUUCAGACAUGUGGAACUAACAGAAA
rnacentral:lncRNA from 1 species